rnacentral:lncRNA from 1 species
UCACUAUUGUGGCAGUUGCGCUGCUGUUUGUCGUGUUGCUAUGGUGGCCGUUGAGCUGCCGUUUGUCGUGUUGUUAUGGUGACCGUUGUGUUGCCGUUUGUCGUGUUGUCAUGGUGGCCGUUGCGCCGCCGUUUGUCAUGUUGCCGUUAUUAUAGUUAUGAGUUGCUUUAUUUUGUUAAUUAUUGAGUUGAUCCUGUUGUGUUUGAUUCUUCAAAGACGAUGACAUUUUGUUUCGCUGACUUCUAUUUUUUUACUAUAACUUGUGUUGCUAUUAUUUUCGGUUUCUUAUGAGAUUUAGUUACUGACCCCUUGUUUCCUUAUGGCUUGGCCCUAUGGUGUGUAACCGUAGAUUUUUCAGGUAACAAAUGAGUCUUAGCCGUCCAGUGUCGAGGAUGGCUAUAGGAUGCUAUCUUCUUUUUCUGCUUUCAAUAAAUUAAAUCGCUCUGAUAGGAGGCCAAUUGGGAGGGGGCCUCUUAUUUACAUUUUCUUUUAUUAUUACAUUAAAAGAAAAAAGAAACUAUUGUAAUUUCAGUUGUUUUUCCAUCUAGACUAUUGAACCAUGUUAUUCGUUUUAGUGAUUUUCAAUUAAGGCUUCAGGAUUCAUAAUUUUUAACUUUUAAUUUUUCACAGCAAUUUUAU